rnacentral:rRNA from 1 species
GAUGAACGCUGGCGGCGUGCCUAAUACAUGCAAGUCGAGCGAACAGACGAGGAGCUUGCUCCUCUGACGUUAGCGGCGGACGGGUGAGUAACACGUGGAUAACCUACCUAUAAUACUGGGAUAACUUCGGGAAACCGGAGCUAAUACCGGAUAAUAUAUUGAACCGCAUGGUUCAAUAGUGAAAGACGGUUUUGCUGUCAAUUAUAGAUGGUUCCGCGCCGCAUUAGCUAGUUGGUAAGGUAACGGCUUACCAAGGAAACGAUGCGUAGCCGACCUGAGAGGGUGAUCGGCCACACUGGAACUGAGACACGGUCCAGACUCCUACGGGAGGCAGCAGUAGGGAAUCUUCCGCAAUGGGCGAAAGCUUGACGGAGCAACGCCGCGUGAGUGAUGAAGGUCUUCGGAUCGUAAAACUCUGUUAUUAGGGAAGAACAAAUGUGUAAGUAACUAUGCACGUCUUGACGGUACCUAAUCAGAAAGCCACGGCUAACUACGUG